rnacentral:lncRNA from 1 species
GAGAGGAUGUUACGGAUCGAGAGGAGUAGGAGGGGGAAGACAGUGGCCUGCGAGUUCAGCGGCUGUCGAACUGUCACUAAGGGUUCCCACUGCCUCGAAGGGGGCUCGAGGGAGAAUUCCUUCAACAACAGGGAUUUAAUAACGGAACCAACCGGUGAGUGCGUUCCGCUCGAGAAUUUUGGAGUAGUUGAACGGGGCGACACCGGUCAAGGGGGUAGAGUUGCCGUCAUAAGCUGUGGCGGGUUUCUUGACGUCGUCGG